UACCCAGUUUCGGGGACCUUGGUACAGGCAGGCCGAGAAUCCCCUCUUUAACACCGAAGCCUUCAAGGCUUCACCCCGUUUUGGGAGCCCUGGUACAGGCAGGCCGGGAACUCCCUUCUUUACACCCGGGGCUUAUGUGGCGCAGCGCCCAUAGCCCCAGCCCGUUUUGGGGACCUUGGUACAGGCAGGCCGGGGAUUCCCUCUUUUAUUGCUCUUGG
rnacentral:ncRNA from 1 species